rnacentral:rRNA from 1 species
UACAGAGGUCUCAAGCGUUGUUCGGAUUCAUUGGGCGUAAAGGGUGCGUAGGUGGCGCUGUAAGUCGGGUGUGAAAUUUCGGAGCUUAACUCCGAAACUGCAUUCGAUACUGCGGUGCUUGAGUCCGGUAGGGGAGUGUGGAAUUCCCGGUGUAGCGGUGAAAUGCGCAGAUAUCGGGAGGAACACCAGUAGCGAAGGCGGCACUCUGGGCCGGUACUGACGCUGAGGAGCGAAAGCGUGGGGAGCAAACAGG